AUGAUCUUUCAGAAACUCUGGAGAGACUACAGAGUUCUAGUUGUUAUGAUCCCUGUAAUUGGGCUCAUACAUUUGGGGUGGUACAAAAUCAAAAGCAGCCCUGUUUUCCAAAUACCUCCUAAGGAUGACUUUCCUGAGCAAGAUAGUCUGAAACUUGAAAAUCUGCAGAAGAGCCAAAUCCAAGGGAAGUAGCAGGCUUGCGGUCUUCAGAUAAAGAAGCAGCUUUGAAUUUGAGCUUCAUUUCAAAAGAAGAGAUGAAAAAUACCAGUUGGAUUAGAAAGAAUUGGAUUCUUGUAGCUGGGAUGUCUUUCAUAGGUGUCCAUCUUGGAACCUACUUUUUACAGAGGUCUGCAAAGCAGUCUGUAAAAUCUCAGUCUCAAAUCAAACAAAAGAGCAUUGAAGAAUGAAGUAAAAUAAAUACUUGGAAUUGCUAAUUUGUUAUUAAAUCAUUAUAUGCUGAUUUAGCUUCAUAAA